rnacentral:rRNA from 1 species
CCUACGGGGGGCAGCAGUGAGGAAUAUUGGUCAAUGGACGAGAGUCUGAACCAGCCAAGUAGCGUGAAGGAUGACUGCCCUAUGGGUUGUAAACUUCUUUUAUAAAGGAAUAAAACGAGGCACGUGUGCCUUUUUGCAUGUACUUUAUGAAUAAGGAUCGGCUAACUCCGUGCCAGCAGCCGCGGUAAUACGGAGGAUCCGAGCGUUAUCCGGAUUUAUUGGGUUUAAAGGGUGCGUAGAUGGGUUGUUAAGUCAGUUGUGAGAUUUUGAGGCUCAACCGUGGAAUUGCAAUUGAUACUGUCAGUCUAGAGUACAGUUGAGGUAGGCGGAAUUUGUGGUGUAGCGGUGAAAUGCUUAGAGAUCACGAAGAACCCCGAUUGCGAAGGCAGCUUACUAAGCUGUGACUGACAUUGAGGCUCGAAAGUGUGGGGAGCAAACAGGAUUAGAUACCCCUGUAGUC